rnacentral:lncRNA from 1 species
AGUCUAGCUGCAGAGGACCUGAGAGGUCAGCCCAGGCUCCCUUCCUUAGGGCGGAUCCUAGGGCUCUCCUUACUAAACAUCCCAUACUCACAACUCCUUUCCCAAAUCGGUUUCCCAGAGAACUCCAGUGCUUUCAUGUGGUUGCAGAUAUUGCCAAGAAUGAAAGCACAUCGGCUUGGUAUCCUAGGACUAGUAUGCCAGCUAAACAACGAUAAAGGAGCUACAAAUCCCGGUUUCCACAGGUUGGGAUUCUCCUGGGGUCGUGAUCUCCCAGCAUUUGCGGAGAGAUAGAUGCCUGCUUGCCUAGUGGCCUUGAACCUCAACGAGGCUUCCCAGGGAGAAUUUUGGAUGAAGACCUUUAUAAAGGGAGUGAAGAUUGUAAGCGUUGAGGGACUCGAGACACUGUGAGUGAGAAAACCAGUUUUCUUUUGGAUAUUCAUCUGAAGGUAACUACAGGUGAGGGACCC